rnacentral:tRNA from 1 species
GGGGAGGUGCCCGAGCGGCCAAAGGGAGCAGACUGUAAAUCUGCCGGCGUAUGCCUGCGGAGGUUCGAAUCCUCCCCUCCCCA